rnacentral:lncRNA from 1 species
AAAUUACCACAAACUGGGUUACUUAAAAAGACAAAGUUUAUUUUCUCACAGAUUUGAAGGUCAGAAGUCUGAAAUCAAAGUGGGAGCCAUCCUCCCUCCCCAAGGCCCUAGCUCCUAGUGACUCCUGGCAAUCCUUGGUGUUUCUUGGUUUAUUCUGCAUCACUCCAAUCUCUGCUUCCAUCUAACCAUGGCAUUCUUUCCUGUAUCUCUGUUUCCUCUGUGCCUGGGUAUCUCUGUGCCCAAAUCUCCCUGUCCUUUCUUUGAUAAGGGUUCCUAUCAUUGGGUUUCAUGCCCACCCUAAAACCAGGAUGAUUUUAUCUAAAAAUUUUUAAUAAAUUACUACACCUGCACAGAUCCAAUUUCCAAAUAAAGUAACAUACUGGGAGGACAAUAUUCAACCCGCUACUAUGAUCAUGAUGAUGUCACAAUCUUGCAUUAUUUCAUGCCUUAAAAGUUGUCAGACAGAUCAGUUGUAGAGGGGAAGACCUACUGGGGUGAUUGGCCAAAAAUGUGGAGACCUCAGGAUAUGGCACAGGAAGUGAUCUUGGUCCUUGCAUGACAUGGCAGACGGACCUGCAGCAGCCUCAUAGCCUUGCAUGGCUUACAGCAUCCCCUGGCUCUGAUAUGCAUGGGAACAGAAUCAGCAAGUUCUACCCUAAUAUCAAAACUGAAUCACCAGCUACUAGACUAGACCACAGAACAGGUGCUUUUCUGUGUGAUUUGCAGGAAAUUCUCCCACCAGAGACCCGUAUUAUGCCUGGCAUACAGGAGGCAUUCAGAAAAUUUGAUGACUAGAAGUGUGUGUCCAUCUCAAUGACACAGGAAGCUGCCUCAGAAGGACAUAUUUGACAUUAUAUCACUUGUUGAUGACAACUGGGUAUCACAACUAGACAGAAAAGAAGAUGAAUGGAUCUCAAUCCUUCCUAUUCAGAGAGGACUGAAGUGUGAAGUGCCUAUCAGCACCUCCUCUGGCUGAACCCUUGGACCCUAAACCCAAGUCAGUGACUUUUCCCAACCUCCCAGGGAACUGCAUUCUCUUCAGGCUG